GCGCCCUGCACGGCCAUCAGGGACGGGUAGCUCUCGGAGCGCUCGGCGCCGACGACGCGCCAGAGGCACCGCUGCGCCAUGGCGUAGGUCGACCACCACACGGCGUUGGACGGCGCGUAGGUCAGGAUGGAGAGGCCGAACCCGCGGUACAGCCCGCGGACGCCGUCGGCGAGGAGGAUCUUCCUGAAGGCAUCCGCGCCGCCGCGGUAGCGGCAGGUGGCGGAGGUCUGGACCAUCAGCCGCUGGCUGAUGACGUCCACGGGGGUCCACACGACCUGCGCGGCGACGGCGGCGGAGACGCCCGCGGCGGCUGAGGCGACCGCCGACGCGGCGGGCUCGGAGACGCCGAGCCGGACGGCGGCGGAUCCGACCGAGCUCUUGGUGGCCUCGAGCGCCGCCAUGUAGAGCGCGCGCGCUGGCACCGUGCCGGCCAGCGACGCGCCGAACCCGCGGUAGAACCCUCUGAGGCCGUCGCGCCGGAGGAUGGCGGCGGCGGUCGCGGUAGCCGCCGCGGGCGGCGGCGCCACCUGCAGGUGCGUCUUGACCACCACGGCCGGGUACAGCGCCGCGGACACGCCCGAGAAGAGCGCCGCGCCGAGGACGAAGAACCGCGACUUGUCGAGCAUCUCCCAGUUCACCUCCGCCGGCAGCCGCCGGAUCUCUUCCGCCGCUGCCGCCGCGGCCGCAGCGCCGCUCUCCUCCUCCAUAUCCACGGCGCUGAAGCUCAUCGUUUCCUCCACAGCU
rnacentral:lncRNA from 1 species